GUUCAUGGUAGCCUAGUGGACAUGGCAUCUGCCCGGUAAGCGGAACGUUGUGGGUUCGAUUCCCGCCCCUGGACA
rnacentral:tRNA from 1 species